AAACCAAUAGCAAACAAGUACCGUGAGGGAAACUUGAAAAGAACUUUGAAGAGAGAGUGAACAGUGCGUGAAAUCAUUAGUUAGUAAGCUUUGACAGAAUAUCUGAACAUUCAAGCUUUUUGCUUUUGCAAAUAACUGCUUGUAAAAUCACGGUUAACUACCAGGAAAGCCUGUAGGCUUAACUGUCCGUGAAGUAAGGGAAAACUGUCAAAGUCCCGUCUUGAAACACGGAC
rnacentral:rRNA from 1 species